rnacentral:rRNA from 1 species
GUGGGGAAUUUUGGACAAUGGGCGCAAGCCUGAUCCAGCCAUGCCGCGUGCAGGAUGAAGGCCUUCGGGUUGUAAACUGCUUUUGUACGGAACGAAAAAGCUCUCUUUAAUACAGGGGGUGAAUGACGGUACCGUAAGAAUAAGCACCGGCUAACUACGUGCCAGCAGCCGCGGUAAUACGUAGGGUGCAAGCGUUAAUCGGAAUUACUGGGCGUAAAGCGUGCGCAGGCGGUUUUGUAAGACAGGCGUGAAAUCCCCGGGCUCAACCUGGGAAUGGCGCUUGUGACUGCAAAGCGGGAGUGCGGCAGAGGGGGAUGGAAUUCCGCGUGUAGCAGUGAAAUGCGUAGAUAUGCGGAGGAACACCGAUGGCGAAGGCAAUCCCCUGGACCUGUACUGACGCUCAUGCACGAAAGCGUGGGGAGCAAACAGGAUUAGAUACCCCGGUAGUCC